GAUAACCAGAUCAGAAAGGGAACUGCAGAACCCAGAAUGAAAAAGUUACUUAGGAAGAGAACAGAAAGGUGAAAGUUCUAGAAAGCUUAGCUAGCAAUAAAGCGAACUAGACCACCGAGGAUAAAAGAGAUCUUAUCCAAGGAUGCAGAAGGUAAUCUCACUUUUGACACCUACUGAUCUCGAUUGAAAAAAA
rnacentral:sRNA from 10 species